rnacentral:rRNA from 1 species
AGAAUCAACGCUGGCGGCGUGCCUAACACAUGCAAGUCGAACGCGAAAGCCCCGCAAGGGGUAAGUAGAGUGGCAAACGGGUGAGUAACGCGUGGGUGAUCUACCUCUGAGUGGGGGAUAACCUUCCGAAAGGAGGGCUAAUACCGCAUCACAUUGCGCUCUUAGAUGAGUGCGUAUCAAAGCCGGCAACCCGCAAGGGUCUGGCGCUUGGAGAGGAGCCCGCGUCCGAUUAGCUAGUUGGUGAGGUAAUGGCUCAACCAAGGCGGCGAUCGGUA